GGAGCUGCAGAGAUAUAUUUCAGAGGGGCGAAGAUAUAGGAGGUGAGGGGGAGAACUCCAAUAAUUUUUGCAAUUGACAGUAUCUUCCUUUUUAUUUUAUAAAACAUAGAAACAAGGUACUUCAGUAGCUAUAACAAUCUAUUGCUAUAUCAUUGCCAUCUCUCUAGUCACUCAAGCCAGAAACCUUGGAAUUCUCCCAACCGGUCUCUGCCUCAUUCCUGCUCCCUCUACACCCAACCAGGCCCUGCCAUCUCCACCAUCUAAACAUUCAUCACAUAAUUCCCUGGGAUUAUUCCUAUUCAUGCUCCCCACCUCCAGCCUCACCCUCUCUAAUCCAUUCUCCUCCCCACAGCCAGGAUGAUCCUUCUAAAGCAUGCAUUUGAACAUGUCACUCUCUUUACUGAAGACUUGAUUAGCUCUUUACUGCUGCCAAAUUCUACCUAUCAAAGCCUUUCUACUUUCUACUCCAGAUAUUCCACCUUCAUCACCACCGCCAAAUCACUACUGUGGCACCUAAACUAUGUUCUGGGCAGAGUGAACUAUUUAGCUUUUCUUAAACAAAUCAUGGCUUUUCAUGCAUUUGAAAAUGCAACUCAAACUUACAGGAAUGUUUCCCAAGACCUAGAUAUCUGUUAUCAGUUAAAGCUAGACUGCAAACUCACCUGCAUGCCUAGAGGACUAUCUACUUGUACAUCUUUCUAUCUCUGUUAUUGGAUAUCCCCAAAGAUAACACAAACCAUUUAUUGUUCAAUGACUUUGUUGGUGAAAACAACAACGAUGAUGCUAAAAGAUAAAUCAAGCAUACAGAUUGCUUAAUGGAAAAAGUUAUUUAUAGUCAGCCUUCUGUAUCCAAGAGUCCCAUAUCCACAGAUUCAACGAACCUCUGACCAAAAAUAUUUGAAAAUUAAUUAAUUAAAAAUAACAAGACAUCAAUAAAAAUGACACAAAUAGAAAAACAACAUAGUGUAACAACUAUUUUGUACUUAACAUUGUAUUAAGUAUUAUAAGUAAUCUAGAGAUGAUUUAUAGUAUACAGGAGGAUGCGGGCAGCUUAUAUGCAAAUAGCUACACCAUUUUAUGUAAGAAAUUUGAGCAUCCUCAGAUUUGACAUCUGAAAGGGAUCCUGGAACCAUUCCCCCAUGGAUACCAAGGGACAACUCCCUACUCACCCUUGUUAGUUCUGGAAAAUAGUUACAGUGGUACUAGGGCAAGCAAUUGAUGACAGAAUUAUAGAGUCCUUCUGGGCGUAAGACAUUUGUUAUUCAUCUGAGCCCAUAGAUGAAAACUUGAGAGCCACUGACCGCCACUAUCAUCUGGAACCAGCCCUCAGUACCUCUCCAGUGGGCAACUGCAACAUCCUUCUCACUGGACUCCUCACUUCUACUCUUCACCUUUCAACAAUCCGUUCUACACAUGGUAACUAGAGUGAUCCUUUUAGGUAACAAAUCAGGGCAGAUCACCUUCAUGCUCUAAAACCUGCAGUACUUCCCCAAUGCACUGAGAGCAAACUCUUCCAUAGCCUACAAAGUCCUACACAAUCUGCCCCUGUGGCCUCCACAGUCUCAUCUAUCACUCUCCCCGUCACUUGCUGAACCAACACCCUGGACUUCUUUCUAUUCCUCAAAAAUGCAUUCACAGGACCCACACGUGGCUGAUCCCACAGCUGCCCCCAAUCACCAUCUGGACUUUUGCAUAACUGUCUGGCUCCACCAGGUCCCCCUCAAAUGUGACCCCUCAGAGAGCCCUUCCCCAAUGUCAUUGAAAACUAACACUGUUUGCAAGUUUGUUUCCUUGACUAUUGCCUACCUCCCCAACUGGAGUGCAAUCUCCAUGAGACCUGAGACCCAAGCUUACUCUCUGUACAUCUUCAACAUCCAAAACAGUAUACUCAAUAAAAGUUGGCUAAAGGAAUCAAUAAACAAAUGAACGACACUACUAACAAUUAUGAAAGAAAGAUAGGUAAGUACUUAAUCAGAAUAAAGAUAAAUGCCACCUCUAACUCAAUAGAACCCGCCUACCACCUCUACACAGGUGAGAGAAACCCCUCCCAGCUCCAGGCUCAGAGGCCUCUCGAGAGAAUAUGUUGUCUUAGGGCUCAGGUGAAGCCCUUUCAAGCUGGCUUUUCAUUAUAUCUCUUUAACCACGGUGAUAAGUAGAGCCAGGUUCCCCUCUUAUUGGUAGGACCAAAUUUUCUCACUCAAAAACUUUACUAUGAAAGAAAUGGAACUCAGGUGCCUUAACUAUGGCCUGAUCAAAACUUGACAACAAAGAAAUAAAGCAGCUUAAAUGAGUUCUGGAAUUGGCUCUCUAAAGACCCCAGCAUGGGAGAGAUGCACACAUAUAUCUAAUGCCCACCAGCAGCUACACUUGCAUGUCCCACAGGGUCUGAGACUCACUGGGUACAAGGCAGGUUCAUUAUCUGGGUACAAGGCAGGUUCAUUAUCUUCCUCCCUACACCCACCCAACUUCUCCCUUUGUCAGUGUCACUGAUGUCUCUGAGUAGCCAACAUCUUCCAGUUACCAAACCAGAAACCUAGAAGUCUCCGUGGACAAUUCCCUUUGCCUCAAGUCCCACAUCCUCCUCAUCCUCCCCUCUAAGCCCAUGUUCUGGUUCCCAUCUCCAUACUCCCACUGUGUCCAAACAGUCAUUAUUGUCUGCCCCCUAGACAAUCACAUUUGUCUCAUUGCUGGUCUCCCCACAUCUACUCAGACAUCCUUCAUUCUCCCCGCAGCAGCCAGAACAAUAUUUUAAAAACUAAUAAUAAGCAUGUCCUACAGCUUCUUAAGUGCCUGCUAUGCCUUCCAUUUUUCUUAGAAUAGAGGGUAAACCCUCACCUUAGCCUGUAAAGCCCCAUAUAGUCUACCACUGCCCAUCUGUUCAGCCUGGCUCACACUCUGUGGUCCUCCAACUUCCAUGUCCUCACCCUAAGGGCCUCCUUUUAGUUCUAAUUCUCUUUUUUAGUUCCAACUCUCUUUACAAAGACUUUGCACAUACUGGUUACUUUGUAUGAAACCAUCUCCCACUACCAACCAUGAGCCACCUUCUUGUCCAUUCUUCAGAUCCCUGCUCAGUUUUACUUCCAUGGGAAAGUCUUCCCUGGCCAUCCGGUCUAGGACAAGUCUCCAAAGAAUGAUAGUUUUUCCUUUAAAACACUUAUAUCUGUUUAUAAUUAUGGAUUCUUGGCAUAACUAUAUGACUAUAAACUCCAGAGGGCAGAGACUUGUCUCCCUUUGUGCUGCUUUGUAUGCCCAAUGCUUAGCACAGUACCUGGCACAGGAUAGAUGCUGAAAACAAUGAACGAGUGAAUGCAUGAAUGAAUCAAGGAACUAGGAACAGCUAUUCUGUGGAGUUCAGCUCACCCUCCAGCAGCUGGCCAAAGUCCCAUAUUUAGCAAUCCUCAUGAGAGAUGGGAGGGGUAGAUAAGCUAGGAGUGAAAAGUGGAAGAAAUAAACUGAGUCGUUGAAAGAUUAAGAACCCCAUGCUGAAUCUGCCCUUGUUUCCAUGUAACUUGCAAGAACCCACUGUAAUUUACAUAUUUCUGCACGAACAUAGCGUGUAACUGACUCCCAAUCCCUUCUAGAUGGAUGACACAUUUACUGUCUCUCUUUGGGAAUUUUAUGUUGCAUCCUGGAUUCCUUAGAAAUUGGCGGAGAGAGGUGGGAAGCAAGGAUAGGUAAAACAAACGGGGUUUGCCAUUGUCAAUAUGCCAAAGAGAAGAGACCUGGUAAGAUCUAAGGGAUGUUCCCAGACACUCACUUUAAUCAUCAUUCCUAUGAACACACACACACACACACACACACACACACACACACACACUAUUGCUAUGAGAAAGAAGCAAAUCAUUCAGACCACUAAAGCAAAUGGUCCUGAAUUACCUAUCAGCCAGCUGAUAUAGUGGCAGUUUUCACCACAUACCAGGCACCCUGCUAGGUGCUGAGAAUGCAACAGAGAACGGGCCUCUAGGCCCAGAGCCUGUGCCCAUGGACUACAGAGUGGUGGGGGCUGUAACUUUGAACAGGCUCACACUGUGGUGUAAACAAAGCUGAGAUGGAAGUGCAGGGGCCAGGGCAGCACAGAGAAGGGGCACCUGACCUGGCCUUGGAGGUCAGCCACGACGUGCCAGAGGAACUGAGAGCAAAGCUGCAUCGCAAUAACCCCUCCGAGCCUCGACUUCCUCAUAUGUAAAGUGGAGACAGUGAGUCCCACUUCCCAAGGGGCUUAAGAGUAUCUGAUUCAAAAUCAUAAUCGCUGGCUAAUACUUAAUGAUCACCUAUUUUGUACCAGCCAUUGGGCUAAGCACAUCUUGUGCAUUAGCUCAUCAACUCUUCAUCACAACUCUAGAAAGUAGAUACAAAUAUCCCCACGUUACCAAUGAAUAAACUAAGGUUUAGGGAGAUGAAGACACCUACCCAAGUCGCUGGCAACCCGGGUCUGCCUGACAACACGCUUUGAGGCACAGCACUUCACCACCUCCCUUAUGUAAUCAUGACAAGUUCUCAGCCCAAAAUAAACCUUUAGUGAAUUUCAGUUUCUUUUCUCCCUUCGUCCCCUCCUCUCCUUUCUCCAUAGAGGAAACAAAACAACAAAGAUCCCAGAGUGCUGUGACUCGAGCCGGUUUCCCUGGAUUUCAUGAAGCCACUUUUUCUGUAUAAAUAUAGUCUUUGAAAGGACCUAGAAGGGGAAAUCAGAAUAUUGAGAAUUAUUCCCACCUUAAUAAUAAUAAGUCAAAUUGGUGAGUCCAACUGAGGCCUCAACCUUAACCCAGGGGAGGUCCUGGGGCAGAUGGCUCUAGGCUCUGCUUCCUCUGGGGCUGGAGGUUACUAAGUUUAAAGCCUGGUUGCCAACAGAUCUCAACAAUGAAGUCCAGAAAUUAGUAAAGCCUACAAAGUGCUCAGAACACAACCUCCCUGCAGUCCCCCAUGGCUUGUGUUCUAUAAGAUGCAGAUCCAGCUGCUGCUCUGCUGGCCCAUCCUGAGGACUUGGCACCAUCCCACCCAGGAAUGUAUCACUUCACUGGCCCAGCCCUGCCUUCCCCUCUUCCACCCAUGCCCAGCUCAUUCACUGUAUUUCAAGGCUUGACCUCAUAGAAAAUGUAUGUAUUCACCCAUUUUAUUUAUUCUUUCACUCAUUAUCAGGGUCCUACUAUCAUGCAUGCAUUUGUGGAUUCCCCAUUGUGCUGAUAUUCUGAGUACGUUUGCAGAUAAAAUUGGAGGAGGAGAUCUGCCUCCUGGCCAGUUGCCGCAUUGCUCACUUGACUGAGAGCAUGUGUCUCCAGCUGUCAGUCAGGCUCCUCCCUGCGCUUGAUUCCAAAGCUGCAGAGGUCAGAGUUAUAGGACUGGGAGGCUUAAGACACUGGGAUGGUGGCCCUGCCUUCUCCAGCUCAGCUCAGCUCAGCUCAGCUAAGAACAAUCAAGGUCAGGUCAGCUCCCAGAUCAACCCAAGGACCCUUGGGAGACUCUGCCCCCAACAGGAUAAAACCCAAGCCCCAUGGAUUGAGGGUCCCACCCUGAAGCUGAAUCUAUCAGACUAGGAUUUCUUCUGCCAGAUUAAAGGCCAUUUGCCUUGAUGAAUUGAGCAGCUUGGUGAUCUCUCUGAUUACUCUCAACAUUACACCGUCAUGCCCAUGCUGUGGACUCUCCUGUUCCCACGAUGUAUCUCCAAACAGUGCAAUAAAAAUCCUUAUUUUUAUUUUUAGUGGUUUUUCAAAAGCCUUCACUCUUCUUGAGCCUAGGCUUUCUGACAUGAUUCUUAUAAACAUGGGUCAUUUCUCCUGGGGUUUUGCUGUAUUCGCUUUCUUAAUAUUUGUGUCUGUAACACCCACACCCAUCAGAGAUGAUGCUAUGGAGUCACAUUGCUUUCUAGUUCACUCAUCUCUGGACUAUACAAUGGAAGGAACAUGGAUGUUGAGAUCAGAUUUAGAGUACUUGAAUCCUACCUAUAUCUCUUACUAGCAGUGUGAGCCUUAUCUCUAAAAUUAAGGUAAUAAUUCCUGCUCACUCUUACAGAGCUUCACAACUGGAUAUCUUUGCGGCAGUACCUUGUGGGCAUGCUUUUAUUGAGGUUUUCUUGGGUUUUUUCCCUUUAGUAAACAUACAGUUUUACCCGUUUGUCGAAACUCCUGUUUUCACAUCCCUUAAAAGCAGAUGGACAGAAAGCUACCAAAUUUAGAGGGUUCUUUGAGAUAACCCAACAUAAAAUACCUGUGUGUGUGACAUAUAUAUGAAUAUAUAUGUCUUGUAUAUUUGUUCUGUUUCUCUGGAGAAUCCUAAUAACAUCUCUUUGUGUACUUUAUUUUCACAUAUACUGAUUCUGGCUAGUUUUAUAUGCCCCACUAUGAGAAAAAAGUAUCAAUGCUAUAUUUACUCAUGAUGCCAUGGCACUUCAGAACCUGUUUGUUCGGGAACAAUAUAUAUUUCCAUGCCUAUGCAGUUCCCUAGUAGCAUUUUUUAAUGCCAGUUACAUCAUUACUCACAAUGCUGCAUCAUCUGCUGUGCCACCUAUGAAUACUGGCUUCCAGUGACUCAAGAAGUUGUUACUAAGCUUCAUUGAUUAAGACUACAAAUGCAAGUCUUACUCAGAAUAUGUAGGAAAAUGUGAAUGAUAAUUCAUUUUUCACUUAUGUCAAAUUUGCCACUCAGAAUUUUACACAUAGAAAAAAUGUAUCUUCCAACCAUGUCUGGAACUCUCUGGUCUACAAUCACUGCAUUUUUAGAAUGUGAUCUCUUUCAGUGUUGACCACAUUACUGUCUUUCAUUCACAGGCAUCAGUGGGAGCACAGGUGGGGGCUUAUGGAAGAAGUAAGAAGAGUGGCUUUAUUUACACAAGAAAUAUCUACCCCUUGCCACAUGGCUUACGAUCAACCCAGAAGGCCACAUUACACAUCAGAUGUGUAAUAGGGCAUUGCAAAAUAGGGCAUUGGUGAGAAGGAUUCAUUGGCCCAUCUCAAAAGCCCUUGGAGUAGAUAGUCAUGGCCACCUCUGGCAGCCAUCCUGACAUGUAUUAAGGAGCCCAUUCAGUGGGGUAAGGUGACUGCCUUGGGUGUCAGCAGUGAAAGUUGCACAAAAGUAGGGGAAUAGUGGUAAGGAGUGAGGUUUGAGAGGUCAACAGGGGUCAUAGAUCAGCAGGGUCAAGUAAAAAAAGGGCUGGAAGGAUGGGCAACCCAAGCAGCAGGAACUAUGUGUGGAAAGGCAUGGAGCUUUGAAAGGAGAAGGUGCAUCCAGGAAACAUCGGUUGCUCCCUUGUGGCUGAAAUAACAUGCAUUUAUGGAAUGUCAUGAUAGAAAGUUGGGCACAAGAGCAAACCCAGAGUUCAUUAGCUUCAUAUGUCAAGCAAGAGAAUUUGAGCUCUAUCUGUAAGUCAUGAAGACUUCAUGGAAUAUCUUAAGUAAAAGAUAGACAUGGCUGGAAUUGGGGUUUCAGGAAAAACACUGUGGCAGCAAUGGGAAAGUCAAACUGGAAGACAGAGAAACCAAAUAGAAAGAGGUUAUUUUAAUUAACCAGGAGAUGAUGAGGAUUGUCUCUGAACUCGAUACCAACUGAACUUGGGAAAGGAGCUGUUGGGCUGGAGAGAACACAGUAGACUCUAACAUGUUUCAGGGGCCAAACAGACAGGAUGUUGUGAUUGAUGAAUGUAGGAAUGAGGAUUGGGGAGGAGUCCAGGAUGACUCCCAGCUUCUACCCAUGGUGCCUGGGUGGAGAGCAGUGUCAUUCCUGAAACAGGGAACACAGAAGGAGCAAGUUUGGCAGGAAAGGGGAUCAAUUCAGGCUGGAACUUGCUGAGUUAAAGGAGCUGCAGGACAUAGAACAGGAGGCUCCCAGAAGACAAGGAACAGAUUCAAAAGUUGGGAGUGAAGUUUGGCCUCGAGAAAGUCAUGGAACCCAGAGAGGAUUCUGGAAUGAGAAGAGAGCUAAGAGGAAAACCUAAGAAACACUACAAUUUAAGAAAUGGUUAUGGUAUAAAACUCAAGAAUUGAAAUACAGAAGACCCUAGGAGGAAAGUCCAUCUUCCAAGUAUUGGAAACCACGCCCAAUUCCUUGGCCAAGUUUUCACAAUCCACUAUCCACACACACCCAUAUUCCCUCUUUUCUUUUCCAAUGACAAGUAAAAACACAACCUGCAUCCUCACCACAUGUACAAAGUCCUCGUACAAAAUUUCUCUAGAGCCUAACAUGGGUGCCCUCUUGAGUCAACAAGAAUGAACACUGCCAGUAAGUUUGUAGAAAGUUGACUUCAAGAACAUGACACAUGCUCACAGUAGGAUAUUGCCAAAGGACUGGUCAUGAGAGCCAAUCAGUCACAGCCACCAGCCCUGAAGGACAUGAGUCCAGGAACCUAGAGUUUAGACCUGUAAGCAAUUAAGGGUAGAAAGAUCUUCAAUUUAUUUUUCUCUUCCCCAUUUUCAGGCAGAGAAACUGAUACCCAGAGAAUGAAAGGAUUUUGUCCAAGGUCAGCAGUGAAACCAGUUGACCAGAUCAGUGUGACUAAAUUAUGUCAUGUUGGUUAAAAUGUCCUAAUGGGCAGCACAUUUCUAAAGUUUCUGCCAAUGCAACCAGGCACCAUGGGCACACUUCAGAAACUAAUGAGUCUGCAAUUCCUCCAGCUCAUUCAGAAGCUCCUGGGAUAAGACUCAAUCCUGGUAAGGCAUGGGAGACUGAAGAAAAGGUAGAAGUUAUCACCCUUCAUAGGGCUUAAUGGACUGUGGUUGUCACAUAUCCCUCCCUCUCUGAGGCCACUGGGAUCUGAAUUUGUCCUGGGCAGGGGCUUUGGGGUCAUUUAAUUAUCAUACCAAGGGGACCCAACGAGGGAAUCCAAACUUGUCUUGAAAAAGUGAUUGUCUUCAAAACUAGCCUGUGUCAGAAUUUUCCUUCCCAAAAAUAGCUGUCCAUGGGUUUGCAUUUUCACAGCUCUCUUCUAGGCAUCGGCUUCUGGUCUGACCUUGGUUCAGGACUUCCCCUUUAGAUGGAUGGAUCCAGAUGGGUCUUUCUGAAACCCCCUUUUGACAAUAUCACUCUCUGCUCGGGAGAACCCAGUGCUCUCCUCCACCUACAUGCAACUUAGUAGACAUCCUAGCCACAGCCUGAGCCUACAGCUUUUCCAGCCAUUGCUUCUUUUUGGUUCCCUCAAGUUCUGUCACUUUGGGUGUCUUCCAGUUCCCUGAGCACAAGAGGUAUUUUUAGGCCCCAGUGCCUUUGCACAUGUUUCCUGGAAUACCGUUUUCCUUGUUAUCCACUGAAAGCAACUCCCAUGUAUUCUUAUUUAUUUAAAUUUUUUGCAUCCAGACUUUGAAUUCCUCAAAAACAGUAACUGGUGUCAUAAUCACCUUGUUAUCCCCAGCACAUAGUUCAGGAUUUGUCAACAUGUUGGAAUGAAUGCCUAUGAGCCAAUCAGACUACUUGCCACAGUCAGGAGGAAGAGGAAGGCUGGAGUAGCUGUGAAUAGUACAAGAUGAACCUCCUUAUGAGUGUGAAAGAGGGGGAGCAUCAACAGAGUUACCAUGAAUUGACACAGUGGCCAUGUUUCCACCUGGUGGAGGAAUCCAUUUUUAACUCAAACCAUCCUCGAGAAGUUACUUUUCCUACCAGAGAGGUGGCAGGCUAAGAAUAAUCCCCUUCAUUAAUCCCUCCCAACAACUUGAAUAAUGGAUGGACCACAGGGAGUUUAGAAGCCCAGGUUAAGUUUAUGAGUUGUAAAUGUAGCUCUGGGCACACUGGGUAGGGAGAUAGGGGUGGUCCCUCGAACAGAAAGCCAGGGCAACUAUUUCCCAGAAUAAAUUAGAAGCAUAUCUCCUUAUGAAUACUGGGGAAUGCCAUUGAUGUUCCAUAAAGUAAACUUUGGUCAAAACAUAGCAGAAGCUGGAGAUUUUCUGCAAACAAACAGUAAUGUGAGGCCAGACAUGUGUAGGCAAGAAGAGCAAGGUAUCUUCAGAAGGAAGUCAGCAGUAUUUCCAGGAAGAACCAGAAUAUAAUCCAUUCUCUGGGCUGUUUCUAGCCUUGGGUUUUCACCCAUAGGGACAGUGAAAUGGCAGCUUAUAUCAGGCUCUUGUAUACCCCAUACUAUAUCAUGGGUAGUUUUUUCUGUACUAGUGUCCUCAAGUUGUCCACAUAGGUUUCUCAUUCUAGAACAUGAGCUCAGUAUUCUCUAUUAACAUUUUUGUGGUUAAAGUCCUAAAUUGCAGUCUCUCCAGCUACUACAUAAGGAUACCCGACCUGAGUGCCUCUGACCUGACACAUGAAAACAAGAUUUGGAUGCCCACAUGGACAUUCCUUCAUUUAACAAGUAUUUGUUGAGUGCCUACUAUGCACCAGAUACUGGGAGUAUAAUAAUAAACAAGAGACCCUGUGUUCUGGGAGUUGAUAGUCUAAGGGGAAAAGGGACACUGACAAGCAGCCAGGGCUUGCAAUACAGUCUAUGCACAAUACUCUGUACUGUGAUGGGGCAUUAGAGGGGGCCACAGAGACUCUACUUUAGACCAGUAGGGUCAGGAAAGGCUUACUGGAGAAAUGAUGUCCAUGCUGAGACAUCCCAUUAGACAACGUGAAGGGAAACGGAAAACAAGGCAUGCUCCAGGCAUAUAAGCUAGGCAACUGCAUGUGCCAAGACCUGAAGUUGAGAGACAGUGUGGCCUGUUAAGGGAAAAUGAGAAGAGCAGGACAAGUCCAAGUAUGGGCCCAGCCCAGUUCAGCCCAUCUAUACAUGUGUUACCAAGGAAGAGACCAGAAAUUUGGGGGCACAGCUCAGGAUCAGCCCCCACCUGAUACUCCAUUCUCACCUCAAUUGUGGAUGUGAAGUUUCAGCUUCACCAGGGCUGCAAGGCCAAAUGGUCCUUGAACCCCCAAGCCCAGCAGCUCAGAAUCUCCCAGGCUUCAUGACGUAAGGAAGAGUAAGAGGAAAGUUGCAGCCAUGACCCGAGACCCUUCUUUGCCCUGCCUGGUUUCCUGCUCUGUGGUGGCUUCAUCUCAGCAAGAAGGUUGCCAUCUUGAAUGGGAAUGGACAUUGGGGUGGGAUGGGGUGGGUGUUGGGGAGGGAGACCCAAACACCUGUCCAAUACAGUCAAAGAAGCUGGUUGUCACCAUGUGAUCAAAAAAAGAGACAAUUGGCUGAAUUUCAGUCACAUUUUCUGGAGGUUUGUAGACGUCGUAGAGGUUUACAAGCCUCCACAAUAGGUAGAGGUAUCCGUCUGGGGCAGGUGCCCCAGACAGCCUCCUGGAAGUGAUUACUCCACUCAACAGCCAAGAGGCAUCUCCUAAGGAAUGUGUGUUGUUUCAACCUGGGAUUGGAAGAAGGGCAAAGUUCUUGAACAAUAUUUCAUGGUUUACAAACAUCUUGAGGUUUACUGAGCACUUGUGCACCAGGCUUCUGCUAGGUAUUUUAAUAUCUAGCAUGAAGUUGGCUUCUCAUGACAGCCCUACAGGAUAAGUAAUAUAUCCCAGCUUUCAGAUCAGGAAAUUGAGGCCCAGGGAGGUGUAAGAAACUUGCUCAAAAUCCACCUUGUUGAGUGACAGAAGGAGAAUUUAAAUCCUGACCUCCUGCUUCCUCUCACUUCCAUCCCUGCAUUAUCUUAUGUCACCAUCUCGAGAGCCAUGGUAAGGUUGGCAAUAUUAGUAGUUUCAGAUAAAAAAAAGCAAGGCUUGGAUAGGUGGCAGAAGGUACCAGAAACAGGUGUUUCCAGCUGAUAAGGUUGGGCCCGUCAGCACAUUUUCUGAGGCAGCUCCCCUUGCUGAGCACCACCUCCCACAAUUUCAUUCCAACAUUUUAAUGAAAAAUAAACGUCUGUCCACCCCUACCCUGUGCACUAGGCCAGAUCAAGCAAUUACACAGUGUUUGUGUGGGAAGAGGACUGGUUCUGAGAGACCAAGCUGAUAGGGAGGGGUGAUAGCAGAGAAAACCCAGCUGGCUCAGUUGGGUCUUCCCAGGACCCCUCGUGCCCUUCUCCCACUGCCCUUUCCACUCAGAAACCUGCCCCCACUGCCCAUCCUGCCUGGGUGAGGCAGGAUCCACCACCAGGGUCCAGGCAGGACCCUGGAACUAAGGAUUUUACAUGCUUUCCAACCCAACUCUAACACAAGGCCAUACAGCAUAGUGGUGAAGGGCACUACUCACUCACUCUGAACUUGGACAGUGGCUCCAUCUCUUAGAACCUGUGUUGUCUUCUGUGAGAUGAGGAUGAUAGUAGCACCCAGCACACAGGGUUAAAUGAAAAGAGAGUCUUGCCAGGGACAGUUACAUGACAAGUGCUCAGGAAACACUAGUCACUUGUCUCCAUUUUUGCUUUUUAUUGAAGUAUAAUGAACAUACCAGAAAAUGCAUAAGUGCAUAGCUCACUGUUUUGGACAAAUUGAACACACCUGUGGAAGCAGCACCCAAUUCAAGAAACAGAAUUCUCAGCACUACACCCCGACUAUACCUUCUGGUUACUAUUUCCUCCCAAGAAUAACCCCAUCCUUACUUCUUACAGCAUAGAUAAAUUUCACCUGUAUUAAAGAUGGUACUACUUGAGCAAAGACAUGGAAUCAACCCAGAUGCCCAUCAAUGAUAAACUGGAUAAAGAAAAUA
rnacentral:lncRNA from 1 species